rnacentral:rRNA from 1 species
AACGCACCUUGCGCCCCUUGGCAUUCCGAGGGGCACACCCGUUUGAGUGUCAUUAAAUUCUCAACUCUGAUCGAUUUGUUUCGACUUCGGAGCUUGGAUUUGGAGCGUGCUGGCGUCGGUCGGCUCCUCUUAAAUGCAUCAGCGAUGGACCCUUGCUGGGAGAAGUGGCUCGUGGUGUAAUACUUGUUUUGUUCACCUCGUCGCCGGCUUUGUCUCGCGGGCUUCUGUUCGGCGCUUCGAAACCCCAGAGUCGUCUUCGGACGGCCGCUUGACAAUCUGACCUCAAAUCAGGUAGGACUACCCGCUGAACUUAA